rnacentral:rRNA from 1 species
GACGAACGCUGGAGGCGUGCUUAACACAUGCAAGUCGAACGAUGAAAUGGAGCUUGCUCCAUGGAUUAGUGGCGAACGGGUGAGUAACACGUGAAUAACCUGCCCUUAAUUUUGGAAUAACCCAGGGAAACCUGGGCUAAUACCGGAUAAGUAAACCUGUGGCAUCACAUGGUUUUGGAAAGUUUUUCGAUUAAGGAUGGAUUCGCGGCCUAUCAGCUUGUUGGUGAGGUAAUGGCUCACCAAGGCGACGACGGGUAGCCGGCCUGAGAGGGUGAACGGCCACACUGGGACUGAGACACGGCCCAGACUCCUACGGGAGGCAGCAGUGGGGAAUAUUGCGCAAUGGACGAAAGUCUGACGCAGCGACGCCUCGUGAGGGACGAAAGUCUUCGGAUUGUAAACCUCUUUCAGCAGGGACGAAGCGAAAGUGACGGUACCUGAAGAAGAAGCACCGGCUAACUAUGUGCCAGCAGCCGCAGUAA